UCUUCCGUAGUAUAGUGGUCAGUAUGUGAGCUUGUCAUCGGGCUCCGGCCCAGAUUCCGCUCGAGACCCGGGUUCAAUUCCCGGCGGGAGAG